CUGUACUCAUCUCCGUAACAGAAGUUCCGUGAGGAAUGAUUUUUGUUUUGUUUGCAGACCCACUCUUGCCUGACCCAUACUAAGUGUUCAAUAAAUUUGUGUUGAAUGGGUGAAUUUACUCAGUCGCCAUCCCCGCCCGAUUUGUGCUACUGCUAAUUAUCGGAGGUACGGGGGCUUGAGUGGGAUAUUGUUAAAACAUCAACACCUCUGGGGUGAGGUUUAAACAGCAUCGCCAUCCUCUGGGGGAAGAAGGGGAGAAUUGGAGAUCAGGUAUGUGUGACUAUUAGAAUUAGUAAGAAGGGCAAUGGGCACCCAAAAGUCAGAAGAAAGGUCCAAAAACAGGGACCCUGGGAUACGAAAAGAAGAAUCCGGGUAUCCUGAGUUAGCAUUCCAGGCUAGCGCUGCUGAGUUUCACCUGCCCACUUCAAGGAGGAGCCUGUCCUCACGAGAUUUUCAUGCAGACCCUCCAACCCCGGAUUUCUAGGCAGGGCCAAAGAGGUGGGCCCCAAUAGCUAUCAAAGGGCCGAGCAGGGGCGGGGGAAAGAAGCCAGGCCAGACCCUUGACUCCGACCCGGUCGGAGAAGGCACCCCGCCCUCGGGUCCUGCAGCCUGGAGUUCGGCCCCCAUGCGGUGCCAGGCCCACGGCGCAGCACAGCGUCCGGCGUGGCGGGCACCGCGCGCGCGAGUAGCGCAGGGCCGACCGCGCUGCUUCUGGCGUUGCUGCCGCCGGGGCUCUUGCUGCCGGAAGUCGCCCAAAUCCCGGCCGCGUCCUCUUUGGCCUUUCUCUUCAUGGACCUCACAAAAAUGAAGCCCUGUUCCCAAGGGGAAGCCAUUAUGUACUGAUGGCCCAGGUAUCUCAGAUUCUUCAAGACCAUGGGCAUGAUGUGAUCUUACUUCAACAGAAUGGACUUUCGUUCACAUUAGGUCACAUGGAUUUCUGAGACCAGGUGAAGAACUCUCUGACGUUCUUCAUUUCAACCUUGAGCAAAUGGUAUAUAUUCAUACUCAGUUUGAUGACACUAUCAAGGAACAUUUCCCAGAAGGCUCUAGGUCAGAGCUAUUUCAUCUUCAACUGAAAGCAGAGCUGGGGUUUGUUAGUUUUGGCUUUGGAUUUGUCUUUGCCUUUGCCUGGCCACAGCUUCCCAACACUGUGUAUGUUGGACACUUAAUGGCCAAACCUGAUGAGCCAAUACUUCAGAGUUUAAACCAUGAUGUUGAAUAAAAGUGGUGAGAGCUGACAUCUCUACUUUGUUCCUGUCUUAGGUGGAAAGAGUUCAAUAUUUUACCAAGAGAGACACACACAGAGUGCGAGCAGGGGAGGAGCAGAGAGAGGGA